UGAGCAAUCUGCCCUUCUCAUCGGAAUAAGCGUUGGAAACGACGUCUAAUGCCGAAUACGACCUCCUUUCGCAUGAUCGGAGGUGGAAAGCUCCGGCGGAGAAGGAUGAGCUCGCGGCCUAUCAGCUAGUUGGUGUGGGUAAUGGCCCACCAAGGCGACGACGGGUAGCCGGCCUGAGAGGGUGACCGGCCACACUGGGACUGAGAUACCGGCCCAGACCUCCGUACGGGAGCAG
rnacentral:rRNA from 1 species